rnacentral:lncRNA from 1 species
AUGCGGGCGAUGCGUUCUGAGCUUGAUCCAGGCGGCGGUGGAGCCCGCGGGCCAGCGGAAGUGGCGGGGCCAUGGGCGGGACCUGCGGUAAUUGCCGUGUGUGGGUAUCAGCACCUAAGGCAACAGCGCAGGGCAUUCCAGGAACAAUCCAGGUUCCAAAGUGGCCUUAUUCGCAGGAAUCAUAUCAGGAUGCAUCAUCUUCAUCGUCAUCAUCAUCGCCUUGGUGGUACUGCUGCUCAAGUACCGCAGCAGGCACCGCAAACACUCUCCACAACACAGGACCACACCCAAGCGAGGUGGCAACAACUCUGGCUGGGAACCCAGUGAUGUUCUCAUACCGCUAAAGAUUGCAGACAGUGUCUCCCACCCACACUAUGAGAAGGUCAGCGGAGACUAUGGGCACCCAGUGUACAUCAUGCAGGAGGUGCCCCCACAGAAUCCUGCCAACAUUUACUACAAGGUCUGAGGCCUGGGACCUUCGCCUCCCAAGGGAACUCUCACCUUGUGGGCGCAGGGACUGUCUGAGCCUGGCUCUGGGGUCGGAAUGACUCCUGGAAGAUCCUGGAGCUGGACCGUUUUGUAGGCUGUAGCUUUUAAGCCUUGGGGAACGACUGACUCUCCCCAGAAGCUGAAAGACUGCUAAGAGAUCCCCACUUGGACUGCUGUGUACCUGUGUGGACCUCUAUGCUAUGCUCCCAGCCAGGCACUCAGGCCUCUGCAGAUCCCGGGGAGGACAUGGUGGGCUAUGGGUGAUGCAGCAGUACCUUAGGAGAAAGUUGUACCUCUGCCUCUGUGUUUCCUGCCAUGCACACUGGACUUGUCACUCAGACCUCGGGUAACCUCAGUAAGGUUUUCAAAGAUCCCUAGCAUUUAGUCUUCACUCCUUCUGUUGCCAGGGCUCUGCAACACCUCCCCAGACCCCUCACUCCACAUCCUGUAUCAUUAAGGGACACUCACCAUGGAGCCUGGCCCCACCCUUUACACUAAGAUGAAAUAAAAUGUGUAUUAGUUACA